CCUACGGGAGGCAGCAGUAGGGAAUCUUCCGCAAUGGGCGAAAGCCUGACGGAGCAACGCCGCGUGAGUGAUGAGGUCUUCGGAUCGUAAAACUCUGUUAUU
rnacentral:rRNA from 1 species